rnacentral:rRNA from 1 species
CGGCGGACGGGUGAGUAAUGCAUAGGAAACUGCCCAAGUAGUGGGGGAUAGCCCGGGGAAACCCGGAUUAAUACCGCAUACGCCCUUUGGGGGAAAGCAGGGGAUCUUCGGACCUUGCGCUAUUGGAUGUGCCUAUGUCGGAUUAGCUAGUUGGUGGGGUAAGAGCCUACCAAGGCGACGAUCCGUAGCUGGUCUGAGAGGAUGAUCAGCCACAUCGGGACUGAGACACGGCCCGAACUCCUACGGGAGGCAGCAGUGGGGAAUAUUGGACAAUGGGGGCAACCCUGAUCCAGCCAUGCCGCGUGUGUGAAGAAGGCUUUCGGGUUUGUAAAGCACUUUCAGUGAGGGAGGAAAACCUUACGAUUAAUACUCGUGAGGCUUUGACGUUACUCACAGAAGAAGCACCGGCUAACUCCGUGCCAGCAGCCGCGGUAAUACGGAGGGUGCAAGCGUUUAAUCGGAAAUUUACUGGGCGUAAAGCGCGCGUAGGUGGGUUUUGAUAAGCCGAGAUGUGAAAGCCCCGGGGCCUCAACCUGGGAAACGGGCAUUUUCGAAACUGUUCAGGCUAGAGUAUGGUAGAGGGAGUUGUGGGAAUUUCCCUGUGUUAGCGGUGAAAUUGCGUAGAUAUUAGGGAAGGAA